rnacentral:rRNA from 1 species
CGGGUGAGUAACGCGUGGGUAACCUGCCCUGUACAGGGGGAUAACAGUCAGAAAUGACUGCUAAUACCGCAUAAGACCACAGCACCGCAUGGUGCAGGGGUAAAAACUCCGGUGGUACAGGAUGGACCCGCGUCUGAUUAGCUGGUUGGUGAGGUAACGGCUCACCAAGGCGACGAUCAGUAGCCGGCUUGAGAGAGUGAACGGCCACAUUGGGACUGAGACACGGCCCAA